UCCUGACUGGCUAAGGGAAAACCUGUCCAUUGUGGCCUGCGUCCUGAAUGGCUAAGGAAGAACCCGCCUCCAUUGUCUUCUGUAUCCUGACUGGCUGUAGACCUGUCAAUCAAUCUCCUUUGCGCUGAACUGCUGCACUUCCUAAAAUGAUUAUGAGCUUAAUUUUCAACUCUAUCUUGUCUUCUUUUUACCAUUGAACCAUCCUCUGGUUCUGGUAGAGUUCUCCCCGGCUUCCGCACUACGUAAAACAGCCAGUACCAGUCCAUACCCUCAGGCGGCAGGCCCAGCAUGCAGUAAGGCGGUCCUCUGACCACCACCUCUUGCAGGAUAAUGGAAAAGCUGUACACGUCCCCUUUGUAGGUGCCUUUACGCGAGCUUGCGAGGUCCCUAAGGAACUCUGGAGCGGUCCAGAAAAGGUGGAGGUUGUUCUACAGGAGCUUUCUGAGACUCCAGCAACUCAUUGAAGCCGUAAUCUGUAAUUUUGAGCACGAAGCGCCCGUCCACCACGCAGUUACGAGAUUUUAGUCGGCCGUGUGGGAAGUCCCUGUGAUGGAGUGUGUAUGCUGCCAGAACCUGUUAAAAAAUAGGAUGCUGUUUAUCGCAAGGACUCUGCUGCCUCUCACAGCAGAUAAAGGACAUGAAAUGAAUGUGAUUCACCUACUUUGCUUGAAGGAUGAAGUUAAAUAAAGGCAGAGUCAUUUUGUCAGAAGCCCAGGAGGAGACUGAUGUGAGCAGCAACAAGUCUCCCUUUGGGAGCAUGGACGCUCUGAUAAAGUGCGUCAGAGUUAUUAGAGGACGGCGUGGGCGGCAGGCAGGCAGGCAGACAGGCAGCAGGUCCUGCAGACUCCCCCUGGAACAGUGCUCCGUCACCACGGCAAACAUGGAGCUCUCCGUGAAAAAGCCCAGGAAGGGAUUGACGUUCUCGUUUCUCAAGUCCUUCAUCUAAAAAACAGAUUAGCAAUGUUUUGGAUUUCAUUUUAUUACCCAAGAAGUCCCCAAGCGAGAUUGAGCAGGGGUGGGCAAACUGCGGCCCGUGGGCCACAUGAGGCCCACCAAGCGUCUUAAUCUGGCCCGCCGGGCGUUUCCAAAUUCUUUUUUUUAAACCUUUAACAUCAAAGCUGUAUCCAGCAACAUGACUUGCAGUGCUCUUGUGGCAUGCUUGAGUCGUACAGGGAAUAGCCAGAUGCAACCAGUAGCUUGUACGAAAAGACGAUCCAAACCAUACGACACGUCAACACACACGCAACGCACAACGUAACCUACCUCCUCUAUGCACCAUGUGGGCAUACAAAUAAAUAUCUAUGCACGACACCAUGCCAAAAUUACACCCAUAUAUUCCUGCCGCAAGGCAUGCUGGGUAGCUUGGGCUACUCUCUCUCCCAACGUUUUGCAGCAUUUGUCGCAUUUUUGCUUGACUGCAAAAUAUGUUGAGGAGGUCAUCAGGGAAGUAAACAAGGGGGGACGUUACAAUACUCUUGAUAGCCAAUGUUUUAUUGUUCGUAGCUCAUGUUGUUGUUGCCGCUGGACGACCCAGCAUGCCUUGUGGGAACUUCGUCAUAAGUUACGUGCUUAGCGCUUUGAUGUUUUUUAUCACCCAUGCACUAGUAGUUGUAGUAUAUAUGUGAUGCGUUAACUUGCUGUGGAUGUGUUGUGUUUUGAUUUCGUUUCACCGUGAAUAAGCACGUCGUUCUGUCUGAUGACCACCGACAUAUGGACGGCACCUCGGCCAAAUUUCUUAACCCAAUGUGGCCCAAAGAGUCAAAAAGUUUGCCCGCCCCUGCUAUUGACUGAUGUUGCGGUCUACAA